rnacentral:rRNA from 1 species
UACGGGGGGAGCAAGCGUUGUUCGGAAUCACUGGGCGUAAAGGGAGUCUAGGCGGUUUGGUAAGCGGGAUGUGAAAUCCCCGGGCUCACCCCGGGACCUGCAUCCCAAACUGCUGAGCUUGAGUACAGGAGAGGGUGGGGGAAUUCCAGGUGUAGCGGUGAAAUGCGUAGAUAUCUGGAGGAACACCGGUGGCGAAGGCGCCCACCUGGCCUGCUACUGACGCUGAAGCUCGAAAGCUAGGGGAGCAAACGGG